GAUGAACGCUAGCGGCAGGCUUAAUACAUGCAAGUCGAGGGGUAGCAAGAUUGUAGCAAUACAAUUGAUGGCGACCGGCAAACGGGUGCGGAACACGUACACAACCUUCCGAUAAGUGGGGAAUAGCCCAGAGAAAUUUGGAUUAAUACCCCGUAACAUAUAGAGGUGGCAUCAUCUUUAUAUUAUAGCUACGGCGCUUAUUGAUGGGUGUGCGGCUGAUUAGAUAGUUGGCGGGGUAACGGCCCACCAAGUCUACGAUCAGUAGCUGAUGUGAGAGCAUGAUCAGCCACACGGGCACGGAGACACGGGCCCGACUCCUACGGGAGGCAGCAGUAAGGAAUAUUGGUCAAUGGACGCAAGUCUGAACCAGCCAUGCCGCGUGAAGGAUUAAGGUCCUCUGGAUUGUAAACUUCUUUUAUCUGGGACGAAAAAAGGCGAUUCUUCGUCACUUGACGGUACCAGAUGAAUAAGCACCGGCUAACUCCGUGCCAGCCGCCGCGGUAAAAC
rnacentral:rRNA from 1 species